rnacentral:rRNA from 1 species
CGCGUAGGCGGUUAUCUAAGCUUGGUGUGAAAGGCAGGGGGCUCAACUCCUGGACUGCAUUGAGAACUGGAUAACUAGAGUUACUGAAGUGAAAUCAGAAUUCCAGGUGUAGGGGUGAAAUCUGUAGAUACCUGGAAGAAUACCAAUGGCGAAGGCAGGUUUCAGGCAGAUAACUGACGCUGAGGUGAGGUGCGGGGAGCGAAACA